GGACAACAGCCAGCAGGGGAAGGCAGCACGGCACAGAGGGUCUGCCUGUCUCCAGCGGUGUUACAGCCAUGCAGGGAGACCGGCAGGACGGGAGAGGAACCUAAAUUAUACCUCGUAUGAAGUGGAGCUGGGAGACGUUACACCACGCAGAAUGCCUUCCAGGUUAAAGAACUCAGAUCUGAAUCGCUAAGCAGACUGGCUUGUUUCAUGACCAAGAAUAAGAAAGAGAGAUGCAAAAAGCCAGCCAUUAAAGCCCAAACUCAUGAUGGAUCCUGCUGAGACUCGUGUUUAACAGCUCCUUCCUGGAGUGGCUCAAGCAACAACAAGAAAAAAAAAUAUUGUGAAAGUCACACCCCAUUGAAAUUGCAUCCUAAAGGGACCUGGUGAGUGCAGUAAUUACCAGAAUGACUCUGAACACCAGGGCCACGCUUGGCUCAGAGAUGGCCAUACAUGUUAAAAUUAAAAAGGACUCUAAGCAGACACAAGAAAAGUGGAAAUUAGGGACUAAAGAGCAGGCACAAGAGCGAUUCAUCAUUCCUGAUAAGGAGCCAUUAGGCUGGAUUUUGAAGGGACCAGGACCCAGGGAAGCCUGCCUUUCUAAGCUUACAAAUGCUGUGUAAUCCCCAACUGUUUCAGAUAAUGGAAAACUGCAUUAACCUUGUAAAGUUUCCCCGGUGGCUCUAUCACAUUGACCCUCUUACAAACCUCUCUGCUACUUUGUUUACACCCUCUGGGCCUCCAGAUCCUGAUUUCCACCCUCUGGGGCCAAUGCAGAAUGCCUCAGUACACGAGAUCAGAAUCCAGCCCCUUGUUAUUUCAGCCGGAACAAGAUUUCUGCCUUGUUUUAGCCAUUGGGAUAGCCUUGACGUGCUUUGACUUGCCUGCACCAAAAAUGUAAACAGCAGCACUAAGUACAACAAU